GGGUCGUCAGGAUUUUGGGGUGCUGAUCUUCCGGGCAGGCCACAGUGAGGAGCUCUGUCUGCCAUCCCUGAUUCCUGCUGUGGUUCUGUUCCCACACCGGAUUUUAUGAUUGCUGCAUGCCAGAAAACUGGAAAAGCAGAAAUGUUUGACCUCCAACCUGGAUUGCUCGUACCCUGACUUCACUGAGACGCAUCCUCUCAUCUGGAGCCAGCUGCAGCCCCACAGAAGGACAGAGGCAGCGAAUCUCCCCCUGAACUUCCUCACAGCCGUACUGACAAUGAGCGAGCGAGCAGGUCCUCGAAUCUAACAUCCAUAGCAACACUCCAGCCGCCUACCGUAGCGACACACACCUGGUUGGUUUCCAGUAGAAACUUGUCUGUGCUGCCUUUGUAGAGGAAGAAAGAGGUUCGAGGAUUACACAUAAACUACAAAAAGCAAACCCCUCCAUGCCGUUCAGUCACAUCCUCUCGUGAAGUGGUCCUAGCACCAGUUAAGCGUUGGCGCUGUACUGUUACUGCAAGCCAGUGGGAGUAUCCAUGGCACCCCAAAUACAAAAUGUCUUGGUCAAUGAUUUGUGACAUGUCAUCUUCCAUGGUCUAAAAUGUUAGUCGGUAACCUAUGAACAGCUGGACAAAGAAACACGAGUAAGGAGUUCCACGAUUUUAUGGCCUCGUUGGAGGUCUGCGUUCAGCCGCCAUCUUCCUCCGUUUUCACUUGCUAACAUUGUCAUGUCAGGAACUGCAUUUAGAAUAAUGUACA